AUCCCAGGCAAAACUACAAAGGUAUUUGUUUGAUUCAUGGGAGGCCGAAAUUAACAACUAAUGGAAGUUUCGCUGAUAACACUUUUGUUAUUAAUGAUUAAGGUGUUUUACUAGUAGCUUUCCAUACAUUA
rnacentral:snoRNA from 1 species